rnacentral:rRNA from 1 species
CUGCAUGAAGUUGGAAUCGCUAGUAAUCGCGGAUCAGCAUGCCGCGGUGAAUACGUUCCCGGGCCUUGUACACACCGCCCGUCACACCAUGAGAGUCGGGAACACCCGAAGUCCGUAGCCUGACCGCAAGGGGGCGCGGCCGAAGGUGGUUCGAUAAUUGGGUGAAGUCGUAACAAGGUAAC